rnacentral:rRNA from 1 species
GUAUACAAUCUGCCUUGUACUGGGGGAUAGCCUUUAGAAAUGAAGAUUAACACCCCAUAAUAUAUUUAGGCCGCAUGUCUUUAUAUUAAAGGUUACGGUACAAGAUGAGUAUGCGUCCUAUUAGCUAGUUGGUAUGGUAACGGCAUACCAAGGCAACGAUAGGUAGGGGCCCUGAGAGGGGGAUCCCCCACACUGGUACUGAGACACGGACCAGACUCCUACGGGAGGCAGCAGUGAGGAAUAUUGGACAAUGGGGGGAACCCUGAUCCAGCCAUGCCGCGUGCAGGAAGACUGCCCUAUGGGUUGUAAACUGCUUUUGUACGGGAAGAAACCGCUCUACGCGUAGAGCCUUGACGGUACCGUAAGAAUAAGCAUCGGCUAACUCCGUGCCAGCAGCCGCGGUAAUACGGAGGAUGCAAGCGUUAUCCGGAAUCAUUGGGUUUAAAGGGUCCGUAGUGGGCCGGUCAGUCAGAGGUGAAAUCCUGCAGCUCAACUGUAGAACUGCCUUUGAUACUGCCGGUCUUGAAUCGUUGUGAAGUGGUUAGAAUAUGUAGUGUAGCGGUGAAAUGCAUAGAUAUUACAUAGAAUACCGAUUGCGAAGCAGAUCACUAACAGCGUAUUGACACUGA